ensembl:ncRNA lncRNA:CR43097 long non-coding RNA:CR43097
GCAAACUCCAACCUUUUUUUGGGAAUAUAGGUUCGAGGAGAUGGAUGGGUAUCCAUGGGGAUUUUCCGGUGUGUCGAUGCCUGUGCGAGCAGCAUUUCCCGUUGACAGGUGAGCGUUGUCGAUUGUCGAGUCGCCUGCCAUUGACAAUUGAAAAUGACAUUUGACAUGCCGCAGCACGAGUGUGGCCCUGAAUUCUGGCUGUUGACGUCGAGUGGAUUUUAUGCAAAUUGCCGAAUUUUGGCUGGAUCGGAUCUGGUCUUUGUGGAGUGGAUACUCUUGUGUAUCCUGCAGGAAGUUGUUAAGGUAGUCAAGUGGCUGCCAACGCAAUUAACUGCUUCACAUGCGGAUGAGAGGUGCUUCACUGACUGUCAGCUAUAUACAUAUGUAUGUAUGUUGAGUAUGUGGCACAAAAAGUGCGGCCAAUUGUGCGUGGCGCUCGAAUAAAAUGGAGCCAGCUGAGUGAAAUGACACCAAAGCCCAUCGAAAGUGCAGCGAAGUCUGAACUCAAUAUACCACCCGAACCGGCAAUUCUUCCAUUUAAAUUCCGCUUACUGCCCACCACCAGGCGACAAAAGAACACGCCACAUUUACAAGAUACAAAUGCGGGGUCCAUCUUCUUGGAAACAGUCAUCCAUCCAAAGCAGGCGAUACUCGAAGAACGGCAGUUUUUGGUUGACUCAUUGGUGUCAGCGGAGGCAACAGUGCCUUAAAAAGCGAAUUUCAGGUGACUCAUGGCAACUGGCGAGAAAGUAAGUGCUCACCUUAGGAACCACAUAUCCAAUCAAGGCUCAUUUCAAUAAGGUUGAAGGGAAGGAAUGGGAAAACAAAGAAAGUUACAUUCCAAGUAUGAAGAUGGUUGGUAUUCAAAUUAGCAGAAGGUGAAUGGAGAGAAUCAAGAUAUCCCACAGGCAAAUUAUGUUUAUGUGAAAUACUAAUGUUUACAACAUCGCAUCAAGGCGAGUCUCUGAUCGUAUAAAGAGUAUUCUUAAGCAGGAUUACUAGUCGAAUUAAUCAUACGGAGAAAGAGAGCAAAGACAACAAAUUGCCGAAUUAUACUAUUACUUUGAAAUUUAUAGUUAAAUUAAGGUUCUAGGGCGCAUUGUAUUCCGAGAAUCCUGAUGGUCAUUAUUAAUAAUAUUUAUACUAUAUAUAACUUGAAAACGA